rnacentral:rRNA from 1 species
CGAUGCAACGCGAAGAACCUUACCUGGUCUUGACAUCCGGAGACCCUUAGGAAACUAGGGGUGCUUCCAUCUGGAAGAAUCUGGAGACAGGUGCUGCAUGGCUGUCGUCAGCUCGUGUCGUGAGAUGUUGGGUUAAGUCCCGCAACGAGCGCAACCCUUGCCUUUAGUUGCCAGCAGUUCGGCUGGGCACUCUAAAGGGACUGCCGGUGUUAAACCGGAGGAAGGUGGGGAUGACGUCAAGUCCUCAUGGCCUUUAUGACCAGGGCUACACACGUACUACAAUGGCCGAUACAAAGGGCAGCGACACUGCGAGGUGAAGCCAAUCCCGUAAAAUCGGUCUCAGUCCGGAUUGGAGUCUGCAACUCGACUCCAUGAAGUUGGAAUCGCUAGUAAUCGUGGAUCAGCAUGCCACGGUGAAUACGUUCCCGGGCCUU